GACUCGGUGGCGGAAGGUCCGCGUCUGCGUACUGUGAAUUGCUAGUGGAUGUGCAAGUAGAAGGUGCCGGCUCGAUUCCGGCUCGAGUCA